rnacentral:rRNA from 1 species
UACGGAGGAUGCGAGCGUUAUCCGGAUUUAUUGGGUUUAAAGGGUGCGUAGGCGGGCUUUUAAGUCAGUGGUAAAAAUUCGGGGCUCAACCCCGUCCGGCCGUUGAAACUGGGGGUCUUGAGUGGGCGAGAAGAAGGCGGAAUGCGUGGUGUAGCGGUGAAAUGCAUAGAUAUCACGCAGAACCCCGAUUGCGAAGGCAGCCUUCCGGCGCCCUACUGACGCUGAGGCACGAAAGUGCGGGGAUCGAACAGG